UGGGGAAUAUUGCGCAAUGGGCGCAAGCCUGAUCCAGCCAUGCCGCGUGAGUGACGAAGGUCUUCGGAUUGUAAAGCUCUUUUUGGCGGGGACGAUAAUGACGGUACCCGCAGAAUAAGCCCCGGCUAACUUCGUGCCAGCAGCCGCGGUAAUACGAAGGGGGCUAGCGUUGUUCGGAAUUACUGGGCGUAAAGCGCACGUAGGCGGACUGAUAAGUCAGGGGUGAAAUCCCGGGGCUCAACCUCGGAACUGCCUUUGAUACUGUUAGUCUCGAGUCCGGAAGAGGUGAGUGGAAUUCCUAGUGUAGAGGUGAAAUUCGUAGAUAUUAGGAAGAACACCAGUGGCGAAGGCGGCUCACUGGUCCGGUACUGACGCUGAGGUGCGAAAGCGUGGGGAGCAAACAGGAUUAGAUACCCACGUAGUCCCUGAGCGGGCUGGCAAGGCGCAU
rnacentral:rRNA from 1 species